rnacentral:lncRNA from 1 species
GAUAAAGCCUUUGAAACAGCUUUUUAGACACAGGAUCUUAGUAAAAGGGAAGAUAAACCACUGUGGAGGCUGGAAAUCUCUAUUACUACAGUGAACAGACAUUGCUCCCGGUGUUCCUUGUUUAUUGAUUGGCAGUGCUGGGGACCCCAGCCUUAACAGGCCAGCGUGCAUGGUCUACACUCAGCAGGGACAGGGCAUCCUGUUCCUCAGACUCCACACUGAGGCACGACCCAGCCCAGGGUCCCUGCAACCGAGACUGGGAGACAGGGAAGGUGCAGUGCAUGCAAGCUCCUGGGCCUCAGAGCACACAGCACAGAGGGUGGAGGGAGGGGGCGCUGUGGCCCUCAACCCACACAACAUGAGGAGGGACGAUGAGCGCCAGGCCGCCCGUGACCCCACUGGGGCAGAUCCAGACCCACCAGGCCCUUGGCUUCCAGCCCGCACCCUGCAUCUUUUACCCCACACCUUGAGGUGGAGGCCAGUGAGGAAGAACGCACAUCCUCCAAGGAUCCUGCAAGAGUCUUGGUCCAAAGCCCAGGGCCACAGGAGCCCCCAGGAGCCUCAAGACCAACCUGGCACCAGCGCUGCUAUCACCAGGUCAGGGAAGGGACUACAGGCACAGAGGAAUCCCCAGCUGUGCAGGGUUGCAGGAAGGACAGGCGCACACAGAACCAGACUGAAGCACCGGAUGCCCUGUCCUUCAGUGCCAGAGGACAACACACCACAGCAGGAAGCAUUGAGAGCAUUCAGAGCCCUGACCUCACUGGCACUGGAAUAAGGAGCUGGAAACAGACCAGGCAGUGCUCAACAUGGGGAUGCUCCUGGGGCGUACAUAAAACACCUAAUUCAAGAAGUGGAGCUCUUAGCUUGAGCUCCAGUCAGUGAGCUGAAAUGGAAAACAAACAAAACAAAACAAAGAAGUAUGUCAAAGCAGAGAAACAUGAAAGAUAUGCAAGCAAUGUUUAAGACCAAACAAAUUCUUGAGAUGAAAACUCCUUUCAGCAAAAUUAGAAACAUGAAGUCAUCAACAGCAGGAAAGACAAACACACAAAGAAAUGGUUAUGUCAAGGACAGAUUAUUUGAAAAUACACAAUUGAAGGUGGAAAAAAAGGAGAG